rnacentral:misc_RNA from 1 species
UUACAUGCCAAUCUCGGGAAGGUCAAUCGCUGUGGAGGUAGUUGUAUCCAGUCUUGUUAGUAAGAGUUUUAGUUUUGCUCCUAAUUUGACACACACUGCAAAGCAGGGGUUAGGCUGCGCACAAUAAUUCCCCGGAGCCCACGAGUGUCCAUUAAAGACCGGUAUACUUUUGCUAUUCUAUCUUAAUGGCGUCCAAUGGUGCAAACCAGCCCUUGAAUCCCACCCCUCAAACAAAUAAUGCUUUUGCUUCCAACCGAAGAAAAUUUCUCAAUAUUAAAAGUGCUCCUCUAGCCAAGUUUGUUUCAUCAGAAUUUGGCGGCAAACCUCCUAGUGCUGAAUCCAUUUUUGGGAAA